CGGGGAGUGGCGCAGUUUGGUCAGCGCGCGUGCCUUGGGAGCACGAGGUCGGCGGUUCAAAUCCGCUCUCCCCGACCA
rnacentral:tRNA from 1 species